CUAGCAUCUCAUCAGGCCUUGGGGAGGUCACCUUCCUCUCCCUCACUGCCUUCUACCCCAGGGCCGUGAUCUCCUGGUGGUCCUCAGGGACUGGGGGAGCUGGGCUGCUGGGGGCCCUGUCCUACCUGGGCCUCACCCAGGCCGGCCUCUCCCCUCAGCAGACCCUGCUGUCCAUGCUGGGUAUCCCUGCCCUGCUGCUGGCCAGCUAUUUCUUGUUGCUCACAUCUCCUGAGGCCCAGGACCCUGGAGGGGAAGAAGAGGCAGAGAGCGCAGCCCGGCAGCCCCUCAUAAGAACCGAGGCCCCGGAG
rnacentral:lncRNA from 1 species